GCUUAAAACUAGCAAGUGAGCUUUGUUCUCUGUAGAAUUCUAAAGACUCCAAGCUAUUUUUAAGCAAAGAGAAAUGGUAUUUUUGAUUACUUUUAUGAUUUGUGACUAUCUAGUGCCAGUCCUUUAGAUUUUGAGUUUUGAACGUGUCAAAUAGAUGGCGUGAAAGAAUGUUGUUUGUUGUGUCAGAUAUGGGCUUAUGGCGGCUCGUUGCCAAAAGUUUAGCUACAGCUAUUUUCUUCGAAAAUUACCAAUGAAUUCGCUGGAGAAAAUGUGAAAGGUGCAUGAAGCCUGUACUGUCUUGUAUUGUGUUGAAAAUCCUGGUAUCCUACUGAAUAUGUCAUCCAAAUGACAGAGUUGUAUCAACCAAUGCUAGCUUUAGUACAGCAUUGCUGGAACAUAGUCUACUCUUCUCAUCUUUUAUCAGGAUUCAUCAUUAUUAUCGGCUGAAUCAUUCUAUAGUAUGGGACUUGCUAGAUCACCAACCCCACGCAUGGACCAAUCUCUCAUUCCAUCUUCUAGAGAACCUUGGAUAACCGAUUGGUGGUUUAGUGUGUUCUUAUUGGGUUUCUAAUGUUGCAUGACAGACUUUAUGUCCAUUGAACAAAAAGGACAAUGACUAUAGAGUAACCCAUUGGCUGCUAGCCUGCUAACCUUGAAAAUCCCCUUUUACUUCAUGAAAAUGUAAACAGGCCCCCUUGAUUUGAGGGUACUUCGCUACUUAUCAUGGACUUCAUCCAUUAGUGAAAAACCAAUGACAACCAGGAGGAAAGAGUGUGCUGGUCGAACGGGGAACUUGCAAGCUAAGCCGGAAGCCUACUAUAUGAUUAAUCGUUCUCGUAAUAACUGUUCCUCAACUCUUCGCUCUUUUUCCGGUUUCUCCUACCAAUCCCUGUCUGCAGUCAAUUAAGGCAGUCUCCACCUGUCUUGAUUGACUCCAUGUGCGAGAUUUUAAAGCAAUUUAUCUCCCAAAUAACACAAAAGAAGUUGGUUAGAUUUGUUUUAUUAGGGUAUAAAUUGUUUAAAAACUUGUAUUAAUAAUCAAUUGCCUUGUACCGGACGCUCUGCUUAUUAAAUUUGUAAUAAUUUUGGGAAAUAUUGAUAAAAUGUAUUUAAGUUAAUUAAAAUUACAUUUAAUUCAAUAACAA